AGAUUGAACGCUGGCGGCAUGCCUAACACAUGCAAGUCGAACGGCAGCGCGGGUAGCAAUACCUGGCGGCGAGUGGCGGACGGGUGAGGAAUACAUAGGAAUCUACCCUGUCGUGGGGGAUAACGUAGGGAAACUUACGCUAAUACCGCAUACGACCGAGAGGUGAAGCGGCGGGCGCAAGGCGUCGCGCGCUGGAUGAGCCUAUGUCCGAUUAGCUAGGUUGGACGGGGUAAGACGCCCACAAGGGCGACGAUCGGGUAGCUGGUCUGAGAGGAUGAUCAGCCACGCGUGGGACCUGGAGACCACGGCCCAGACCUCCGACGGG
rnacentral:rRNA from 1 species